GGGGAUGUAGCUCAGUGGUAGAGCAUUUGUCUAGCAAUCAACAGACCCAAGAUUUAAUUCCCAGCACCA
rnacentral:tRNA from 1 species